GUCCAUGGAUGGGAAACGAACCCACAGAAACGAAUCUUCCCUUACCGGGAAGAUGCCAUGUCCACUAGGCUACCCUGGA